rnacentral:lncRNA from 1 species
UUAGUAACUUGCAGGAAGCGCUUCCCUGUUCACUCACAGGCCCAUCACGCUUCAUUCUCCCUAGGGAGGGUGCACUCGAGGUUUGAGCGCGGGGGUGGAAAUUGAGGCGUUUCCGUUCUAUUUUGGUUUCUCCUACUGACUGGCUGCUCAGCUGUUCAUGAGUCAUCCUAACCUCAAAAUCUGUCAUUAAAACAGAAAUAAUGAUACCUAUUUUCUGUGCCUUACAUGAAUUGCAUGAAGACAUUAUUCAUAUUUCUGAAAUACAUGUGAGAAUUAGUCAAGGUUAGCUGUAAGAAAAAGUACAAUGGAAUUGUUUUUAAUCCAUGAUAGCUAUGCUUUUAUCAUUUAGAUUUUGAGAAUUCUCUAUACUGAAAAAUGAAGAAUGAGAAGAGAUCCCAAUAAGGAUUACAUUUGACGAAACACUUAUUUGAUGAACUGGAUUAAGAUAUAUACAGUUUUUUAAAAUAUAUGGCAUAAGAAUUUAUUUAUUCAAAUGUUCACUUAAUAACAUUUUACGGAGCAUCCUGGCACUGACUUCGACACUGGAAUUACCACUAUGACACAGAACCUCUACUAAAGGAGACCACUAGAAACAAGACUGCAUGAUUCGAGGAUCCUAACUUUCAUGUACGACUUCUGAAGAUACAUUAUAAGAGAAAUCCAAACUGCAGAACAAAGGUCAUAGAAGCCAAGACUGGAAAGAAUAGAAGCAAGAUAAAUGCGAGUAACUAUCACGUCGAAAGCCUACUUUCACCUUUUCUUCAUUUUCCUUCUAUUUUUCUUCAUUUUCUAAAUGUCUCUAAUGAUUAGUAUGGUAGACAACCUCUAACAUGGCCUCUUGUUGUACUCACCUUGUGCAGUUCACACCUGGAUAGUCUCUCCUCUUGUUGAGGGUGAGCUGUACUUGUUUCUAACCAAUAGAUUGUGGUCAAGAUGAUGGGAUGUCACUUUCAUAAUUAGAUUACAAAAGAUUGUGACUUAUAUCUUACUAGCAGACUUUAUCACCUUCUUGGCUUUCAUGCUUUGAUAAACAAGCUGCCAUCUGGGAGAAGCCCACCUGGCAAGGAAUUGAGGGCAGCCUCUGGUCAACAGCCAACAAGGAACAGGGGGCUUUAUCCCAACAACCUGCAAGAAAAUGAAUGCUGCCAAAACCACCUAUUGAGCUUGGAAAUAGCAUCAAUCAAGCCUUCCUCAGCCAAGCCUUCCGAUGACACUGCAGACUUUGAUUGAAGCCUUGUUAGAGAACAUAAAGCAGAAGAUCCAGUUAAGCUGUACUCAGAUUCCUGACCCUUGGAAACUGUGAGACAAUGAAAAUGUGCUGUUUUCAACUACUAAAUAUUGGAGUUAUUUGUUACAGAGCAAUAACCAACUAGCAUAUGAAGGUAUUGUUUUUAUAACACAGUAGUAAACUUCUUUUAAAAAGGAUAUUCAAAUAAAAUGAAUUUGAAAUGG